rnacentral:rRNA from 1 species
UACGUAGGGUGCGAGCGUUACUCGGAAUUACUGGGCGUAAAGCGUGCGCAGGCGGUUCGUUAAGUUCGUCGUGAAAGCCCCGGGCUCAACCUGGGAAUGGCGAUGGAAACUGGCGGGCUGGAGUGCGGCAGAGGGGGGUGGAAUUCCACGUGUAGCAGUGAAAUGCGUAGAUAUGUGGAGGAACACCGAUGGCGAAGGCAGCCCCCUGGGUCAAGACUGACGCUCAUGCACGAAAGCGUGGGGAGCAAACAGG